UUAAAUUGAAGAGUUUGAUCAUGGCUCAGAUUGAACGCUGGCGGCAGGCCUAACACAUGCAAGUCGAACGGUAACAGGAAGCGCUUGCUGCUUCGCUGACGAGUGGCGGACGG
rnacentral:rRNA from 1 species